AAAAAAGAAAGAAAGAAAGAACAGUUGUAUAUGUAAAUACGCUUAGACUUUGCAAUAUUAUGGAAAUCGCUUAAUCGGCAAAGUACAUAUUUAAAUUUGACUUUGAAAUAACAACAAAGCAGUCGAAGUUCUUUAUGCUAUUGCGUACGUAAAAUAGAACAGGAGGGAUAGGAUGGGAGAGGGGGGUCACUAAAAGGCAAAUGAAGUUAGUUUCUGAGUAUCGAUCAAACUUCAUGGAUCAUUAUUUUUGAUGGCUCAAUAAAUUAUCUCGAGCUUGUGUGGGCUAAUGUGUAUUAAUAUAAAUUAAUUCGAAGAGAAAGACGUUGAACAAAUUUGAAUUUCUCGAGAAAACAAAAUGGUGGAUUUAUUUCGUGUCGUAACAAAUUUUAACAAAUGUGAAUCGAAGACGAGCAAAAAUUCAUAUUUCCUAUUGGAGAUGCGUUUUUUCUCCUUCCCCCCCACCCCCCAUUGAAAUGGCGAUCGUAAAUUGAUUAUCCCAAUUAACCGCGUGUGAAAUAAACGCAACAAAGGAAUUAACUGCCGUGAAAAUUACCAUCUUACCAAUAUGGAUAGCAGAAGGAGAAUCAUCAAGGCAACUAUAUACCAACGAUCGAUAAUCCAUCGUUGAAAGUUAGCAAGACUUGCAUCAGAUAGAAGAAGCCUUCUUAAGGUGGCCAGAGGGCCACUUGGAUCAACCUAUGCACGUACAAGGAAAUAACUUACAUAACAUGACCAGAGUUCACAGCUCUUGGUCGGUGGAUCCUCUGGUCCUGCGAUACACUGACAGGAUUCCAAACCGUAAGCCAGGCAAAUGCUGCCGGUGCAUUCCUGAAAGCAAUGCGAAGAUCCGAUAAACUACCACCAUUGCUUUACAAUUAUCGCUCUAUACAAGAGGACAAUGAUUUACAGGAGAUAUCAAAGGCGACGAGAGGGAAUAGAGAGUGGAGUAGUCUAUGGGAUCGAAAUGACGAAGGACGAUACUUGAAACACUGGUAGGUUGGACGUAGGAAAAUCGAGCUUACUAUUUGUUUUUCGUCGAGGAGAAAGAGAGAAUGGGUGCUUCGGGUAACGAGGAUCAGAUACAUUCGAUUCUAUUCAGCCGAGUGGAAAACGUUGGUACGCGAAGAGGCAAGUCGACUGUUGAGGAAGGAAGAGGAAGUGGAAGAGGAGGAGAAGGAGGAGAGAAAGGGGUAGAGGGUAGAGGGUAGAGGGUAGAGGGUAGAGGGCUUUUCUCUCGUAUGUACGAGCCGUGGAAAUCGAUAUUCCCGAAAUAGUCGGUUUCUAAUUUGCAAGUACAAUAACGUCGGUUGGUCGGUUGGUCGAAAGAGGAGAUGAGAGAAGUGGAGAGGCGAUGGAUGCUAACAGAGAGAGAGAGAGAGAGAGAGAGAGAGAGAGAGAGUGUGAGUGGGAGAAAGCGCGCGAGAGAGAGAGAGAGAGAGAGAGAAACAGGGAGAGAAGUCAGCUGCCGCGCUACGUCCCCGAAAGUUUGCAAUUUGCUUUGGCGUUUCCGCACCGUCGGCAACAAUGAGACGUCGACGUCGCAUCCUCGGCUCCACACCGAAUUCGACGUUCUCUGAAUCGAACAGAGUAAGGGGAGACGUUUGUACGUUCGCGUCAAGAAGAAAAUUGUGUUUCUCUAAUGAAUACUUUAGAUUAUUUAUGAUUUCUUUUCUUUUUCUUUAACCUUUUUUUUUUCCUUUUUUUUUUUCCCCCCACAUUUAAAAUCGGAUCUUGAUUAUGUAUUUCAAAUUUCCUCUAUGACAACUAUGUCGAAUAGAACGUAAUGAGAGUUUUGUUUGUUUCAGAAACAAUAGAGGUAUAUGUAUAAUACUUACACGUAUGUGUAUAUAUAUAUAUAUAUAGUCUAUGACUACUCAAAGUCCUUGAACUCAUCUUUAUUAAAGUCACGUAGAGUCGAUAAGGUGGCCUCGAUGCAACUCGAACGAUCUCGCCCUACGGAAAUUCGUAACUCUGUACGUCUCUGACGCGAGUGCCGUUGUAAUGGCGAUUGUUUCUCGACCUGUAGGUACGGCCAAACUUUCCCCUUCUGCGAUUCGUGCUGAGAAGUUACACGGAAGCAGUUCGAGCGUUAGAUUUUAUCACGCUCGUUCCACCAUCGGAGCCCUUAUUUGUUCCGUUAGUUAAAACGAAAUAAUCGCUGGGAUAUCUUGAUUUUGUUACUCCUCCUUUUAACUUUUUCUUUUCUUCUUUUUUUAAUUUGCUCUCUCGAUAAGAUAUUUUCUCUCUCUCUCUCUCUCUCUCUCUCUCUCUCUUUCUUUCUCUCUCUCGCUUUCUUUUUUAUCGAAUUCAUUAACAUUUUAUAAAGCGCGUAAAUUUAGUAAUAUCUACCUAAUAGAUCGAUGAAAAAAUUUGGACAUUACUUUUGAUGAAAAUUUAAUAUUUAAAAUUUUGCAUCCUUAAGCAUUAAAUUUUAUUAGAAAAUUUUUUAAUAAAUUUUUCGUAUUCUCAGGAUUUGCAGGAUUAUGAUAUUGGAAAUAAAUCGAAUCGAUAUCACUUUUUUUUUUUCCUGAAAAUGAUUUAAAUGAUUUUUACCUACAUUUUUCUUUAUUUACCAUACGCCAGUCUUAUUCAACCGAUUCAUCGUCUUUCUUUCUCUCUCUCUCUUUCUCUCUUUCUUGGUUCUAUUAGCACCGUAAUUCACACACCGUAUACUUGCUAUUAUGACUACUACUAACGUACGAUCACGGAAACGCUAGACAGAGCUCAAUGAAUAAGUUACUAGCCAAGAAGCGGCUCUGCCGGGAAUCGUAAAUUCGACGCGCCGCGGCAAUUCCGUAAGUGCGGCGUAUUCUCGUUGAGAUAGUCGUGAGGAACGCUCAUAAAAAUCGUCCCUUAUCGUAAUAUUAUUCUCUAUGCAAUUAAACGAACGUUGGAACGAAAGAAAAAAAUGAUCUUUGCAUUAGUAUUAAGGGAAUUCGAUAAUAGAAUUAAAUUAGUCUAUCGACGAUGAUAAACAAUUCAAUUUUAUUUUCCAAUAUAACAUCAUAUUUGUCAUAUAAAGGAGAAAUAAUUGAAUUCGUAACGUAUAUUAAAAGUUUAUCAAAUCGAAAUAAGUUAGGAAUUAUUUGAAAAACAAAAUCUUCUUUUAAAUGUUAUUCCUUAUAUAUUUACAAUGAUUCUCUAUUUAUUAUAUCGAAAUAUAUUAUAUAUAUUUCGUUUACAUGUCCAUUGAUAAAAAAAGAAACAAAUAUGCCCCUUUAUUUUCAGCUAUGAAUCGGUUUAUUUCUAUCUGGUAUUUUGAGAUUAUGUUGUAUUAAUCGAGAAAUAUCUACGUCACAUCUAACGAAAUGACCACGGCCUCGAGGGAUAGCAGACGUCAAAGCCAUAAUCACCGUCGAUAUUUCUAUAUCUCAAAUAUUCGCAUGUUGAUAUAAUAUUAUACAUAUAUGGCAUAUGCAAAACGAAAUUGGCGACGUAUGAAUUAAUUAUUAUAUUAAUAGCGACCGGCUAUUUUACCGUACGGGUAUUCAAUUGGCGAUUGAGGAAGAGAGAGAGAGAGAGAGAGAGAGAGAGAGAGAGAGAGAGAGAGAGAGAGAGAGAGAGAGAGAGAGGAAGUAGAAAGAGAACAAAAGCUUCAUACGCAUGUAAUUAAUGCCCUGUGAGUUCUAUUACCAUCAACACCAUUGCUCUAUUUUCACGUAUUUCAUGUAUUUCACUUCUAUUAAUAUUCUUUUACAAAUACGUACUAUUCGACUAUUUCGUUUGGAUUUCGAGCAUUAUUAUAGACGAUAGCGAUUAAGCGAGCAAACUUUAUUCGUUCAUACGAAACGAAUAGUGUGACCUGACAGAUUCCGUAUUAACUUUGUGUAUCGUAAUUUUUCGACGAGAAACAUUUCCUCUACGUUUCCAUUUUCCAUGUAUUCGUAAAAAAAAAAAAAAAAAAAAAAAAAGAAAAAAAGAGAGAAAAAAAAGUGCCAAAACUCGAUUCAUCCAACUCUUUCCAAUGUGUGUCCCUUCCUUUCUUGUUUAUCUGAUGAAAACUAUCGUAUUCGAUAUAUCCGAUACGACGUCGACGACAAUUUAUUUCGUUUCGUGAAUAUUUAAUUGCAUUAUAAAAAUUCGUAAAAAUCAUUGAAGGGAAAAAUAUAUAUCCAUUAAACAAAAAUGAAAUAACAAUGCACGACGACUAGGGAAUGUGAGAUAGCUAGAGACAGUUUUUCAAUUUUUACAAAAAAUCGAUCGAUGGAUGAUCAUUCAGAGAAGUUUUACGAAUAAAAUCUCUCUCUCUCUCUCUCUCUCUCUCUCUCUCUCUCUCUUUCUCUACCGGCGCAGAUGGAAUUUGACAAAGGCAGGAAUCGUCUGCGUCCAUAAAUUCGUGGUUGUAGAUCAAUACUAGGUAACGGGUAACGUGAAACUUGAUAGUGGUGCCUAUGUGUGUGUACGUUUGUGUGUAUAUAUAUAUAUAUAUAUAUAUGUGUAUGGAUAUGAUUGCAUACGUAAAGGAGAAAUAGAGUGGUAUGCGAGUAAGUAGAGUGAAGUAGUGAAGUAGCCAAGUGGUGUGUGAGGUUGUAUUCUCCUCGUCUCGCUCGUUGGAGAAUGCUCGAAAGGACUCUGUGUGAUUCUGCACAACAUGUAUGCUAGUACCUAAAUAAGUGUAUGUGUAUGAGAGAGAAGAGAGAUGGAAAUAGACUCAUGUAUUCUCACCCCCAUGUAGCAGACGAACUCCUCGUUGCAUAUGGUCUUGUUGGGUUUGUUGAUGGAUGGCGGACACUGGGGACCUCGGCCGUCGCAAAAGCUCGCGUCCCUGCAUCCGUUGUCGUCCCUGCACUUGUCCCCGCUGCGUAAAGUACAAGCCGACGUGCAGCACGGUCCCUGCGACAGAGAUACGAAGAUCAGAGAGAGAGAUAGAGAGAGAGAGAGACUGUGAGAUCAGUAUGGUCUCUGUGGGAAUCCGUUAAUGAUAAAUCCUCUCAUCGUGGGCACGCGCGAGAUAUGUCGGAACAUCACGAGCAUCGCUUUUUUACUCGACAAAGCUUUGCGGAACUUUGUUAAUGAGAGCAAACAGAAAAUUCGGAUUUGAAAAGGAUGCUUUCAAAGGGUAGACUACCAGAAGGCUGUGGUUGGACUAAUUGUAAACAACAGAGAGAAUACUCGAGGCAUUGGAUUUAUUUAUACUUUACGGCGGAAAGGUACUAAAGUGUGUGUCAAUGGAAAACAAGAAGAUAGAUAACAGACAGAGGACGGGGAGUCGAGCGAGCGAUAGGGAGUAUCACUAUUGUUUUGGAUUUCAAACUGUACGGAUCGUAAUCUUGUGGACGAUGGCUUAUACGAAAUUACAUUUUGUAUUCAGGUUCUUCGCUGGCACACGAUUGGGUUGGCAAAACGGAGACGUCUCUGGAGCGAUAUGCGAUCGUAUGAUGAUGACGUAGAUCAUCGGAUUUAUUUCCACAAUGAUUGUCAUUAUCAAAAGACAAUCUAUGACAAUCCGAGGAUGAGGAUGAAUAUCUGCUGGCUGGUUCGAUGUAAAUCUCAUCGGAGGCUGUAAAUAUUGUCCCAUCGAAUAGGCCCUCAGUAGUGACGAUACCAUGGACCAAUGAAUUUUCGUCGUCUGUAAAGAAAAAAAAAAAAGGAAAAAAAGAACAAAAAGAUAGAAAAGGAAAGAAAAGAAAGAAGAGAGAAAAAAAGGCAAAAAGAAAAAGAAAGAAAGUAAGAAACAAACGUACGAACGUGUUAAAAUGCAAAACGAUCCAUUUGUGUAAACAUAUAUCGUACAAAUUAUUUGACGAUAGUCUGGUUUAUACAUAGAUAAAAUGUAAAAAAAAAAAAAAAAGAAAAAAAAAAAAGAAAAUUUCUACAAUUUUACGCGCUGUUUCUCUUUUCCUGUUUCGUAACUUCUAUCGUCUGUUUUAGCUUUUCCUUCGGAAAAACCACUUGGCAUAUCAUAUCCCGCGAUUUGCAGAAUGCGCGAAUAUCGAAGAGAGAUUCACGGUUAUAUUCCCUUCGAGCCGUAUUGCCAGUGAAAUCGCUUACUUGUUUUAUAUGCCAAUGUACGUGUUGAAAGGAUCGAAAGUCUCAGUGGAGUAUUACAACAAAUACCGAGGAAUUUCGUGGAAUUCAGGAACUACGAAACCGGCUUAAAAAAUCCAUAGCGGAUUUGCUAACGUUGGAUCUCACGAAAGGGAAUAUAUUGGAGGAUCCAUUCGAAAUGUAAUUAAUUAUUACGAGAAAGUUGGCCUUUUUAAUUCGUAUUAUUGAACUAUCGAUACAUACUUAACCUCGUCUCAUUAAAUUCUCACAUACUCUUCGAAAAGGUCGAAGGCACUUCGACGUGUUCGUGAACAUUUGAAAAAGUUUAGAAGAGAGAUGAUAGAAGUAUAGAAGAGGAGGUGGAGAAGAAGAAGGACGUUUCGUGAUACUAGUAGGUGGGUUUAUUAAUUAAGUACACCACGAUGGGGACACUAAGACGAGCGAGGAAGAGGAGACUACAGAACUAGGUAGAAACGCACGAAGGUGUCGUAACGUUUCUCUUUUACGAUCUCGUAGAAAGAGGAGGAAGAAGAAGAAAAAGAAAAAGAAGAAGAAGAAGAAGAAGUCUGGUACAGUAUAAUAGUAUGAUGGUGGUGGUACUGGUUGGUGGUGAUGAUGGUGGUGGUGAUGAUGGUGAUGGUGGUGAUAUGGUGGUAGAGAAAGUAGAGAACUGUCGGAAGGGGUCGUAACGUCGAAAAGACGAUGCAAUUCGCGAAUGCAAACCACAAAACCGGACGUAUGCUGGUCGAGCAUCUUUAAGGGUCCUUUUUCAAAUCAUCAAACUUCUUUUCUCUCGUAUUUUAGUGGAUAUUUUUUUUUUUUCUUUUUCCUCAAAUUCUUCAACCAUGUAAUUUCUUUUAUAUAUUCAUUGAAGGAUACCAUCCUAAUGUAUUUCAAUAAUCACGAACGAUUUUCUGAUAAAGUGCCAAUGGAUUUUAGUUUAUUAAUAGAUUUAAUUUUCUAAGAAGAAAAUGUUAUAUUAACUUUGUUCCCUCCUUCGAGGGAAAACUUUUAAAUCGACACUUGUUACUUCUAUGCGAGAAAAUCAUUUUAAAUUGUUAUUUUAUAGUUGAAAAAUAAAAAGGGACAGAGAAAGAGAGAAAAAGAGAGAGAGAGAGAGAGAGAGAGAGAGAGAGAGUAGAAAAAAUAAGAUGUAGAAAUAAAAGAAGAAAGAAAAUUUAUUUACAUAAUUUGUGUACACUUUGUUUUUAUUACUUUGCGUGAAUUAAAAGGGACAAGAAUUUCUCUCUCUCUCUUUCUCUCUCUCUCUCUCUCUCUCUCUCUCUUUCUCUUUGUCUUUCUGUUUCUUUCUUUCUUUCUUCCUUUAAUAUGCCAUAUCAGAUGUAUAUCAGCUGUCGGAGGUUUUUCAUUGCAGUAGAUUUGAAAGUUACGAUCUGACAGAAGUUUUGCGAGAAAACUAUGCAGGUAGAAGAGUGUAGUCGAAGAGAGAACAUUAGGAGGGAAGUGGCGAGAGGUCGUAAGAUCGAAACGACGUCGUAAUCCAAGGACGAAUCUUUUCACAUUUUCUUUUUCUAUAUCUCUUUCUUUCUCUUUCUUGUCGUCGGUGAUCCAUCGCUAUCAGUCCGUUUCGCCAAAGUCAUCGAUUAUGCGAAAACGGUGGCAGGACUUUGUUGAGCUCUCUUUGUCGAUGAACAAAACGAAAAGGAAAGAAAGAGAGAGAGAGAGAGAGAGAGAGAGAGAGAGAGAGAGAGAGAGAGAGAGAGAGAGAAGGAAAAAGAGAAAAUUCUCACUAAGAAAACGCAAUGGGAUAUGAAUGAUGUCGAGGAAGGAAAAUUUUUCUAUGCUGUAAAACGAAUCGAGCAACUCGAUUGAGAAGGUAAAGGCAUUAUUGACGAACACCUCAUAAAUUUAAAUCAGAUUCCGUGAAAUGAUUUCUUCCUCGUUCUUUGACGAUCUUUCUUCUUCUUCUUCUUCUUCUUCUUCUUCUUCUUCUUCUUCGUCUUCUUCGCUUUCGUACCUUUUUUUUUUAUUUAUUUGCCUUCUUUUCUGGAUUAUCUUACCCUUCCAAAAAUUUGCCAUUUUCAAAGUUACAGUUAGAUCUCCCGUUAAAACCGAGCCUGCUCCCGUCUAUAAGGGCAGGAAUAAAUUAUUCUCUUUCACCCUUGUCGCAAAGAGAAAUUGCUUGGCCUCCGGUUACUGAAAGAAGACUUGAGGGAUGAAAGUGCAAAGACUCUGAGAGUAAUCGAAGGAACGAUUAAAACGUUAAUAUUAAAAGGAACACGCGCCUGUACGGAAAUGAUUUUCGAGUUUGAAGUUGGAGGAAUAUUCAAGGACGAAGGAGAUGUAACUUGUAAUAAGGAAGAUGACUCGAUUCGAUCGUGAUAUUAUAAUUAUAUACUUUGUAUACGUUUAUUUGUGUUUUUCAUUUCCUUUCUUUUUUCGUUUUUUUUUUUCUUUUUCUUUUUCUUGUUUUUCUCGAAUCAUUAAGAUCUGACAUUAUGCAUUUGAAAUAUGCAUUAUACAUAUUUCGUUUUCUUCUCGUGGAUAAAUAAUUCGAUAAUUAUAUAUCGAAUUUGUUUAUACGAAAAUAAUAAAGUACUUCAAUAGUACUCAUCAAAUCUUAUUUAAUGUUCUGAAUAAUUAUGAAUGUAAAUAUUAAUUGAAUUUACGUUUAAUGUUACAUUUAUCUUUCUAUAAUUAUGAUAUCGUAGUAAUAAUUAUCAUUAAGAUAUAAUUAUCUUAAUGAUGAAACUAUUCUUUGAGAUAAUAUAUUAUACCUCGUUUUAAUCUUAUUUAUAAUUAUAUUCUUGAGAAAUAUUUCGAGAUGGUAUCUUUAUCGAAUGCGAAUUAAUUUUAAUCGUCUUUUUCAUAUUUACGAUUUUCAAGGAAGGAAAUGUAGGAUAAACGUUGGAUAUUUGUAUAAUCAAAAAGCUCGAUGUAUUUGGAUGAUUAAAUUUGAGGAAAAAGUUAUAAGAGCUUCGUUAUACCGGAAAGAAAUGUGUCUUUCAAGGGAAAGAAACGUUAAAGAGGAAAGAAAAGAGAAGGAGCAAAAAAAAAAAAGAAAAAAGAAAAAAAAAGAAACGGAAAAGAAAACAAAAAGAAAAGAAAAGAAAAGAAGUACAAAAUUAAAAUAUGGUCGGCGAGAGGUAAAAUAGAGGAGAGCUGAUGCUGGUAGUGGUUAAGAUGAAAAGCACGAAAACUGGUUAUUAUUUCGAUUAUUAAUUUAGCGAAGAAGACUUGACUGUUGAUGUUGUGUUGAUGUGUACGUAUAUACAUAUAUAUAUAUAUAUGUGUAUGUGUGUAUUUACUGGUAUUAGUAAGACCUUCGUCUCAGAAAGUACAAAAAGAUAAUGUGCGUAAAGCUUUACCACCGGGGCAAUGAAUAAAGCUCGCAAAAGAGUUUCGAACGAGUUUAACAACAAUCCCUCUCUUCUUUUCUAUCUUUAACAUAACCAAGAAGAAUGAAAGUGAUUAACCUUUUACUUAACGAGUACUCUGAUACACGCGUAGGGUAUAAGCCCGCCGUCGCAUUUUUUUUAAUAAAAACUUCGACACUGACGAUCUGAAAAUUAGCACCGAUAGAAGCGCUUCGUGUUCAUCCUUAUAUUCAUUAUAUAUAUAUAUAUGCAUGUAACUUUUUUAAUUUUUUUUUUUUAAUCGCAAGGAAGUUAUUGCGAAUAGAAGGAAGGAAUAAAAAAAUUUAUAUUUAGGAUGCCGGAUUUUUAAUUGCUCCUGUAUUCCAAUAUAAGUUUAUAUGUAAGUAUGUAUACAUAAUUUAUAUAUAUAUAUAUAUA